UAACGACGUACAUCGGACGACGGUAAUUGAACUUUUGCUCGAACUGCACGCUUUGCCCCGUCAUCUCAAUACUCACGAAUACGUGCAGCAAAUUGGCCACUAUCUAGAAGCAAACGAAGGAAUACGUGGGAUAUCUAAUCAGGCAAGAGUGCUUCCAAACCUUCGGCUAAGCGCGCACGCAGAUGAGGAUUGUACAAACGGUUCUGACACUCCAUCAAAACUAUAAGCUGAAAGGACAGACGUAUAACUUUAAUGAUCGCGAUGAGAGUAUACGGUUCUUUCUGCCUUGACUUACCUCAGUCAGGAUCGGAUUCAGGAAUCUCGGGCCUUGUUCCUCGAAUGUGUUUGGACUUAGGCGACGUAGGAAAUAUAAGAACUCGAUAGUGUUUUCUACUAUGAACUCAGGAAUGCACCUAUCGUAGAAAUGCACUGACUGGUUCACGGAUUAUCUACUCCAAUAGCACACACAGCAUGUAUUUGGCAUACCUUAGUGUAAUUGGAACAACCUCUGAUAGUGGGAAUGUAACAGAUUUGCAUUGUUUUGGCGCGAAAUUUUCCUCGUCUCCCUCAUUGUUCACGUUAUUCAGAUUUACUUGUAUCAACCAAAAAGCUGUCAUCGCGUGAAAUUUCGCCAAGUGUUGCAACAUUUCUGGUAUUAGAAGACUCGCUUUAAGCGAUAAGUAUCUGUAAGCCCAUAAACAUGUAACUAUAACAACUACACCAAAGGCAAAUCGUUGAUUUGAUGUGCAUUAA